AUUGAACGCUGGCGGCAUGCCUUACACAUGCAAGUCGAACGGCAGCACGGGAGCAAUCCUGGUGGCGAGUGGCGAACGGGUGAGUAAUAUAUCGGAACGUGCCCAGUCGUGGGGGAUAACGCAGCGAAAGCUGUGCUAAUACCGCAUACGAUCUAAGGAUGAAAGCGGGGGAUCGCAAGACCUCGCGCGAUUGGAGCGGCCGAUAUCAGAUUAGCUAGUUGGUGGGGUAAAGGCCCACCAAGGCGACGAUCUGUAGCUGGUCUGAGAGGACGACCAGCCACACUGGAACUGAGACACGGUCCUGACUCCUACGGGAGGCAGCAGUGGGGAAUUUUGGACAAUGGGCGCAAGCCUGAUCCAGCAAUGCCGCGUGCAGGAUGAAGGCCUUCGGGUUGUAAACUGCUUUUGUACGGAACGAAACGGCCCUUUCUAAUACAAGGGGCUAAUGACGGUACCGUAAGAAUAAGCACCGGCUAACUACGUGCCAGCCGCCGCAGUAAGAC
rnacentral:rRNA from 1 species